rnacentral:lncRNA from 1 species
GGGAGGACGGGGGAGCCGGCACAGGCAGCAGGAACCAGCAGAGCCCACAGCCCUUGAUCGAAGAUGAUCCCGUUUCCGGUCUGGCCCCAGCCCUUGGCAGGCCCGGGAGUGGAGCUUCCCUCCAAGAGCGUAAGGCAGGUUUGAGAUGGACUUCUGUUAUUGACAACCCAGAGGUUCCUGACUAACGCAUCAUUCAUUUGUCAAACACUGUGCUCCUGCUCUAUGCCAGACUACACAGGAUGGUGGAAUCCGAGGAUGACUGCGACACAGCUCCUGCCUUCAAGGAGCUUGGAGUCUCCUAAGCCUUGUCCAAAUGCUGCUCCUCUGUGACUACUUGGCCAGCUCCCACAGACAGUGAGCCCCCUUCUCCCCUCUGCUUCCCAGCACUAGGUUCACACUAUUCAUUCAAUGAAUAUUGCCAGGAGUGGUGGCUUAUGCCUGUAAUUCCAAGACUUUGGGAGACUGAGGCAAGUGGAUCACUUGUGGCCAGGAGUUUGAGACCAGCCUGAGCAACACAGGGAGACCCCACUUCUACAAAGAAAUAAAAACAUUAGGUGAUGUGGUGUUCACACCUGUAAUCUCAGCUACUCAGGAGGCUGAGGCAGGAGGAUCCCUUGAACCCAGGAGGUUGAAGCUGCAGGGAGCUAUGGUUGCACCACCAGCCUGGGCGAGAGUGAAGUUCAUUGGUUACCUACUUCAGGCCAGGCUCCAUGUUCCUCCUAUUGUAGAAUUGUCCCAGACUGUGUCUGCCUCUGCCUCUUAGACUGUAUGUUCUUGGAUAAUGGGCACCAUGCUGGUGAAUCCCCAGUGCCUAAGGCUGCGCCUAACGUGUGCUAAUUGCUUGUGUUUAUUGAAUGAAUGAAAGAAUGUGGAUUUCUGUGUGUGUUUAUGUGUGUUGGGAUGAGGGAGUGGACAACCAAAGAGAAGGACAAUAUGACAUAGCACCCAUAGCAGAGGAGAGGGUCCUGGAAGUUUCUAGAUCCAGCCAGGGCUCAGCCAGAAAAGCCAGCACACGGCUCUGAUCAAUUGAAUAAGAGCAGAUGUCUCCCUGCAGAUAGAUGCCUUCCCCACAUUUGCAACACAGGCGUCCCUGUCUCAGCACCAGUCCUGAAGAGCUGUCUCUGGAAGUUUUUCCCUUCUCCAAACCCCACCCAUAGUGUCCCGCCUGGCCACUACAUGGAUUCGUGUGAGGGCUCAAUGUAGCCUCUCCCUCUCAGGCUGACGGGGCCCAUUCUUCACACACAGCACUCGCUCACCAACAUGGGCUGGGGCCUCCUCAGAGCCGUGGAGGCAGGGAGUCACGGACUGACAGCCGGGCCUCAGGUGAGCCAAAACGCCC